rnacentral:misc_RNA from 1 species
CGGGGUCUAACCGGCCUCACCUCUAUCAUCCGUGUCUACAUACCAAUGUUGCUUUGGCGAGACCUCGGGCUUGUUCCGGGGAGUUCACGCUCCUUCGCCCCGCCAAAGCCCAUAUAAAACCUGUUAUCAGUGUCGUCCGAGUAAACAUAUAACAAUUA